rnacentral:rRNA from 1 species
AUUGAACGCUGGCGGCAGGCUUAACACAUGCAAGUCGAGCGGAGAUGAGGUGCUUGCACCUUAUCUUGGCGGCGGACGGGUGAGUAAUGCUUAGGAAUCUGCCUAUUAGUGGGGGACAACAUUCCGAAAGGAAUGCUAAUACCGCAUACGUCCUACGGGGGAAAGCAGGGGAUCACUUGUGACCUUGCGUUAAUAGAUGAGCCUAAGUCGGAUUAGCUAGUUGGUGGGGUAAAGGCCUACCAAGGGGACGAUCUGUAGCGGGUAUGAGAGGAUGAUCCGCCACACUGGGACUGAGACACGGCCCAGACUCCUACGGGAGGCAGCAGUGGGGAAUAUUGGACAAUGGGGGGAACCCUGAUCCAGCCAUGCCGCGUGUGUGAAGAAGGCCUUAUGGUUGUAAAGCACUUUAAGCGAGGAGGAGGCUCUUUUGGUUAAUACCCAAGAUGAGUGGACGUUACUCGCAGAAUAAGCACCGGCUAACUCUGUGCCAGCAGCCGCGGUAACAC